CCUACGGGUGGCAGCAGUGAGGAAUAUUGGUCAAUGGACGAGAGUCUGAACCAGCCAAGUAGCGUGAAGGAUGACUGCCCUAUGGGUUGUAAACUUCUUUUAUAUAGGAAUAAAACGAGGCACGUGUGCCUUUUUGUAUGUACUUUAUGAAUAAGGAUCGGCUAACUCCGUGCCAGCGGCCGCGGUAAUACGGAGGAUCCGAGCGUUAUCCGGAUUUAUUGGGUUUAAAGGGAGCGUAGAUGGGUUGUUAAGUCAGUUGUGAAAGUUUGCGGCUCAACCGUAAAAUUGCAAUUGAUACUGGCAGUCUUGAGUACAGUUGAGGUGGGCGGAAUUCGUGGUGUAGCGGUGAAAUGCUUAGAUAUCACGAAGAACCCCGAUUGCGAAGGCAGCUUACUAAACUGUGACUGACAUUGAUGCUCGAAAGUGUGGGUAUCAAACAGGAUUAGAUACCCGGGUAGUC
rnacentral:rRNA from 1 species